UACGUAGGGUGCAAGCGUUGUCCGGAAUUAUUGGGCGUAAAGAGCUCGUAGGCGGUGUGUCGCGUCGGCCGUGAAAACCUGCAGCUUAACUGUGGGCUUGCGGUCGAUACGGGCAUCACUGGAGUUCGGCAGGGGAGACUGGAAUUCCUGGUGUAGCGGUGAAAUGUGUAGAGAUCGGGAGGAACACCGGUGGCGAAGGCGGGUCUCUGGGCAAUUCCUGACGCUGAGGCGCGAAAGCGUGGGGAGCAAACCGG
rnacentral:rRNA from 1 species